ACUCAAUUGUGAGCCUCUCUCCUAAUUGUGUCUCACAGAUGCAUAGUGAGGAGGUUAUUCAGCUUGUAUUUACAUCAUUACCCAUCUACCAUCAGAGUGUAUUGCUAACUGGUUCUCCUUACAAAUGCUUGUUGUGUUUGUUUUGUGUUUUUAAUUUUAUGUUCCACUGCUUGUCUACUUUUUCAUUGUUUUUAAUCCAAACUUCUACUUCAGCCUCUGCUCAUGAAGUCUCCCUCUCCCGAGUCCUUUGGGCUGCAAUAAUCAGACUCAAGCUGAGUGGAGACACACACUGAACAGAUGACAUGCCAGCCAAACUUGCCCCAAAAGUUGGGGAGGGAAAUGGUGCUCAACUGAAGGCAGCUGCUCUUGGGAGAGUCUUGACAGAGACCUCUGCAGCGAUAGUGCCUGGCAUCAGUGAUUGACGGGGAGCCAUCUGAUCAACUUUUGUUUCUGAAGGAAAACCCUGAGGAAACUCACUACCAUCCUCAGUGGCUGGUGGAUGGAUAAAGAGGUGGAAAGCAAGUUGAGUGAGCAGAAACUAUGAAGAGCCAUGAGCAGUUCCGGGGGAGCAGCUGCGAGCAUCAUGGAAGGCCUCUGCCCUGUCGGAGAAGCCGGGAUCCUCUUCAGCUUGGACACUACAUCAGUGACACUGGCAUCUCCCCCAUGCCAGGUAAAGUGGGGUGGGACCACAGGGAAGGCCGCCCUCUCCCAUGCCACAUCCAGGAAUGUGUGUUUGGUCCCUGCUGUAUACAAAGGGAGAUUAGGACUAGGGGAUUUGAAUCUUUCAAUGUUCAAGAACUUUGGAGAUUAUUUAAUCCAGUGGUUUGCAAAUGUCUUUUAGCUGUCCUUUAGCUGCAAAUGUCCUUUUGCUCAGGGAAAACUAUUUCAGAAGCACAUUUUUGCAAGCAAAGGCAGAUGUGUCUGGUUGAAGCAGCAGUAGGCUUUGGAGAUAGAGAUACUCACAGGCUAAAGAGGUGGGUGGGAGUAGCCUCAUGAAUGAUUCUGCUUCCUCUUUAGGAUUUUCUUUAAAAUAACAUCACUGCAGCUUUCAGUUAAGCCCUGGACGCUGUUCACUUAGGCCUGAGCCCAGACCCUCCAGAGCCACACAGUCCAAUAUGGUAGCCACUCUUGUUUUAUAUUUUAUUUAAUUUUAAUUAAUUUAAAGUAAGAUAGCUCUAUGUGAGUUAAAAAUCUUUUAAAUUCAGUUUCUCACACACAUUAUACACAAUUCUAGGACCCAAUAGCCAUAAGUGAUGAGUGGUUACCCAUCAGGCAGCGUGGAUAUCGAACAUUUCCAUCAUUGCAGAAAGCUCUGUUGGACAGAAGUUCUGUUGAACAGCCUCACUUUAGAGUCUAGAAUUUCCUUAAGGGGACCCUGGAUUCUCUUGGGCUCUGGGAAACACAGUUAGAAAAGCACUGGUAGAAUCUAACACCUGAACGAGAAGAGAAGUCCACAGAAGCAGCGUGGUUUGCCAGCCACGUGGCAGGUUAUUGAAGAACUAGAGCUACACCUCAGCUCUCCCACUCCACCCUACUGCACUUCUGCCUGACCCCAACCCCUAACCUAACUGUUCUCUGUUGCCUCUCCAGAAUUGCCGUCCACGCUAAGCCUUUUGCCCACAUCUCUACUGUUUAGAGACGGAACUGAGGUCUCAGACAUCUCUGAGGUGUCCAGAUUAAUCAGGAGACCAUUGUAGAUGAGGCAUCGCUCUAGGACCUGGUACCUGCUUGUGCUUUGUCCAGAACUGAGCUCAGAACUUGCCCAGUUCUACCACAUGUCUGAAAACUUCUUCCUUCCUGUCCACAUCAUUCCGUAGUUGUCUCUGAGAUAUGUCUAUUUACAAGAAGAUACUCUGAAAAGGGCCAAGUCAGAAAUGACAUCUUGAUGUAUCCAGCCAGCCAGCAGUCUCAGUAGCCACUAAAAAAUUAGGUCAGUAGUUAAAAAUACUUUUACAAAGAAAAGCCCAGGCUUGGAUAGUUUUAUAAGAAUUACACCAAACAUUCAAGGAAUAGUUAAUAGUUCAUUCAAAUCUUAUACAAAUUCUUUCAGAUAAUAAAAAAAGAAAAAGAAAAACUCCUUAGCAAAUAUGUGAGAUAAAUAUAAACACAAUAUGAAAUUCACAUAGAGAUAAUUCGAGACAGGAAAAAUGAUUUACUCAUGAACAUAAAUGCAAAAAUCCUUUAAAAAUAUUGGCAAACUGAAUCCAAGAAUAUGUGAAAAAUAUAACACACCAUGAUAAAUUUGCAUCAUCCUAUAAAUGCAAAAUAUAUUUUGUAUUAAAAAAUCUAGUUUAGUUCAUGAAAUUAACAAAUUAAAUAAUUAUUUCAAUACUAUUAGAUAAACUUUAAACAUAUGUGGUCUCCUAGCUCUCCAAAGACCUCAUACUAAAAUAAUAGUUCUUCUUAAUAGAAGGAGCAAGGAAUUAUUGUUCCCAAAUGUUUUUACACACCUCCCCGCUAUGAGAGAAGUGUACUUCCUGGUUGGCUGACAUCCAGCCUGGGCCAUGUGACUUGCUCUGCCAGGAGUAGCAGGAAAGCAGAAAUGAUGUCUAUUAAGUCUUGAAAGAGGCUUUAAGAGCUAAUACACUCUUCUCCCACAUCCCCUCCUCAAGGGUCUCACUCCUAAAUAAAUGUUACUUUUUCAACUUCCAUCCCAGAAUAAAAAAGCAUGUGGAGCAGAAAUGGAACAGAGUAGAGGCCAGCUCAGUUUCCAUGUUAUAAAACCAAAUAGACAUCUUUGUUGCAGUAAGCCCCCAUGAUCUGGAUGUUGUUUGCUAUCACAAUAUAACUUACUCUGUGAUGAUUGCUAUUUUAAAAAGAGUACCUACCAAAAAUUUGUAGCGCAAACCAUACUUACUAAUAAAAAAUUAACCUUACUCCCUUUAAAAUAAAAAACAACAGUGAUGCCUUUGAUUCAACAUUGUGCAGUAAGAUAAGGAAAAAUAAAAUGUAGGAAUUAUAAAAGGAAAUACUAAGCUUUGGUUAUUUGCAGGUAAUAUGAUUGUUUAUAUAGAAACUCCUCAAGAAUAUGGACAUAAUUUAACAAAACAGAGCACCUAAAAUACCAACAAAAUCAUAAUACAUCCAGGAAUAAAUCUAACAAAAUUUGUGCAAGACUUCUUUGAAAUUAUAUAUGUUAUUAAAAUACAUUAAAGUAAACGUAAAUAAAUGCAUAUAUUAUUUAUCUAUUUAUUUAUUUAUUAUUAUUAUUUUUUUUUGAGAUGAGGUCUCACUAUGUUGCCCAGGUUGGUCUCGAACUCCUGGGCUCAAGUGAUCUGUUCACCUUGGCCUCCCAAAAUGCUGGGAUUACAAGCAUGAGCCACCACACCUGGCCUUAUAUUUAUUUUGUAUACAUAUAAUAUUUGUGAUAGAAGGACACAAUAUAUUAAAAGUUUGGUCAUUCUCUUCAAAUUGCUCUAUAAAUAAAAUGCAAUUCCUUUCAAAUUCAAUCCAGAGCUGUUUGCAGAACUUGAUAAGCAGAUUCUAAAAUUUUUAUGGAAAAAUGAAGCACAAGAAUAGCUGAAACACCCCUGUAGAGGAUGAACAGGAUGAGGCGAGCUGUUUUGCCAGUUUUCAUUGCCCUGUGUAUAUAAUAAAGCUUUGAUUAAUUAAGAGAGCAUAAUAUGGCACAGGAACAUAGGAUAGACCAGUGGAUCAGCACAGAGCGUGUAGAAACAAGCCCACACAUAAAAUGAAAUCUAGUAUAUAACUGGAAUGUCACUGCGGAUCAGUAAGAAUGGGUUGCUCAAUAAAUGAUGCUAUGAUCAUUUGUUUUCUAUAUGGACAACAACAACACAAAAAAGAAUACACAAAAAUAAAUAAAAGGGAAAAAGAUUUAGAUAUGGAAACCACAAACUUAAGACUUUGGGGAAAAAUAUAGAAUAUUUCUAUGAUCUUGGAGCAGGAAAAAAAUGAUGAAAACAAGACCCGAAAAGCACAAAUAUAAAUGAAAAGAUAAGAAAGUUAACUGAGUUAAAAUUAAUAACACUUCUUAAUCAAAAGAUUCCUAAAUGCAAAGAUAAGCAAAAAGGAAAAGUCUGCCUCCCCCAAAAGCAGUGGUAAAACAUAGGAAUAAACACUUCACAGAAGAGUCAGCCCAAAUAGCUAUUAAAUAAAUGAAAAAUGUUCAACCUUUUAAAUAAUGAAGAUGUUGCAAGAUAAAACCACAAUAAGUUAAAGUUUUAUACUAAAAUGUUGGUAAGG